rnacentral:rRNA from 1 species
UACGGGGGGGCAAGCGUUGUUCGGAAUUACUGGGCGUAAAGGGCUCGUAGGCGGCCAACUAAGUCGGAUGUGAAAUCCCCAGGCUUAACCUGGGAACUGCAUCCGAUACUGGAUGGCUUGAAUCCGGGAGAGGGAUGCAGAAUUCCAGGUGUAGCGGUGAAAUGCGUAGAUAUCUGGAGGAAUACCGGUGGCGAAGGCGGCAUCUGGACCGGCAUUG